rnacentral:rRNA from 1 species
UACGGAGGGUGCAAGCGUUAUCCGGAUUUACUGGGUUUAAAGGGUGCGUAGGCGGACUAUUAAGUCAAAUGUGAAAGCUUGCAGCUCAACUGUAAGAUUGCGUUUGAUACUGGUAGUCUUGAAUUUAGUAGAAGUGGGCGGAAUACAUCAUGUAGCGGUGAAAUGCUUAGAUAUGAUGUAGAACACCGAUUGCGAAGGCAGCUCGCUAUGCUAAUAUUGACGCUGAGGCACGAAAGCGUGGGGAUCAAACAGG